rnacentral:rRNA from 1 species
GACGAACGCUGGCGGCGUGCUUAACACAUGCCAGUCGAACGGAAAGGCCCUGCUUUUGUGGGGUGCUCGAGUGGCGAACGGGCGAGUAACACGUGAGUAACCUGCCCUUGACUUUGGGAUAACUUCAGGAAACUGGGGCUAAUACCGGAUAGGAGCUCCUGCUGCAUGGUGGGGGUUGGAAAGUUUCGGCGGUUGGGGAUGGACUCGCGGCUUAUCAGCUUGUUGGUGGGGUAGUGGCUUACCAAGGCUUUGACGGGUAGCCGGCCUGAGAGGGUGACCGGCCACAUUGGGACUGAGAUACGGCCCAGACUCCUACGGGAGGCAGCAGUGGGGAAUAUUGCACAAUGGGCGGAAGCCUGAUGCAGCAACGCCGCGUGCGGGAUGACGGCCUUCGGGUUGUAAACCGCUUUCGCCUGUGACGAAGCGUGAGUGACGGUAAUGGGUAAAGAAGCACCGGCUAACUACGUG